UACAGAGGGGGCAAGCGUUGUUCGGAAUUACUGGGCGUAAAGGGCGCGUAGGCGGCCUUCUAAGUCGAACGUGAAAUCCCCGGGCUCAACCCGGGAACUGCGUCCGAGACUGAAAGGCUUGAAUCCGGGAGAGGGAUGUGGAAUUCCAGGUGUAGCGGUGAAAUGCGUAGAUAUUGGGAGGAACACCGGUGGCGAAGGCGGCCACCUGGACGGUAACUGACGCUAAGACGCGAAAGCGUGGGGAGCAAACAGG
rnacentral:rRNA from 1 species